AUGCUGCUGCUCCGGGACCACUACAAGGCUGCGGUGGACGAGAAGGUGGGUGCUCUCCUCCUCCUUCCAGACCCCAUCUGGCGCCCGAACUUCACCGUGGCCCUGGCCUGGGCUCAACGCCACUUCGGCCAACGCCUGCGCCCGGAGACGGUGAGCGCGCUGCGCUCUCGCCUCAGAGAGGUUCUGGACGUUCCGGUCCCUCUGGUCCAGCUGUUCCCGCAACCCGCCCCUGGAGCUGUGCUGUCACGCUUCACCCUACCUGCUGGACCACCGCCUCCUGCCCCCGGCCUCCGGUCCCCUGGACCCGGUCCGGAGGCCCUCGACGUGGGGGUAGGACCUGCUGAACGGCGCUCCCCGGCCAGGCUGCCGUCGCCUACCUUUUCGCUGGCCUUCUCCUCCUCUCCUUCUUCUCCGCCCCUGUGCCCCCCCAUCCCUCCCGCCUCCUCUUCCUCUCCCGUUCCCCUUACCCCCUCUCCUCCACGGCCUGCAGCCCCGGGACUUCUCCAGAGCACCACACCGUUGGCUCAAAGGACCAGGCUCGCGUCCAGCCGCCUCCGCCGACGAGUCGCAGCCAUGCCCGCUCCCGGACCUUCCUCUUCUCCUCUUCCUCCCCCCCCUCCUCCUCCUCCACCGCCCUCCGGCUCGACACCCCCGCAUGGGUUGGCCCGGGCCGACCCGGAGAGAAACGACGCACCGGUUGACGCACGGGACCCCGCCAGCCCCGCCUCUUCCUUCUCCACCCCGACUGUGACCCUCGCUCGACCCACCCGACACCCAAGCACGGGUAAGAAAUGCCAAGAGUGGCACUUACAGUCUAGGGAACCGCUUCUCAUUCUCGGUGACUCAAACGUCACACGCUUCGCUGAAUUUAGCAUACCUGGACUCCAGAUCGAUGGUUAUCCUGGCGCGUCGUUCCGUCAUGCCUCCGCGGUGAUGGCCAAGACCACCAUCAACCCCAAGGUCCGCAAACUGGUCCUGGCUUUCGGCUUAAACGAAAGGAAUAACAAGUUAUAG
rnacentral:lncRNA from 1 species